UGUACACAUUAACAACCUGUGAUAGAAGAGGAACGUAAAUCAGUGCACUGGUGUCUUAAACCUCCAACACCAUCAGCAAGCCUGUGGGACUCCUACAUUGAAUUCAACACUCCUACAUUGAGCACAAGCCAGACUUAAAUGCUUUUCCCGCCCUGUGUGAAUCUAUCUGCAUUCUGCGAGCAGUCAUCACAUGGAUUGCAUUUUAUUGUGAGGAAGUGAUUAUUCUGAAACAACACAAUUUUUGGACUCAACAGUGAAUGCAUGAAGAGGUUUGGUUUUUAAGGAACUCUAUAGGGAAGAUUUAAAAUGGAUGAAGAGAUACAAGAAGUAGAGCUCAGAAGAAGAGUGAAGUAUCAUGUACAGAGAGAUGUUCUGGAUGAACUCGGUGUCGACAAAGUAGCCGAGAAGUCGGAUUUCAAAAUUUCACUGAAGGAAAAAUUCAAAGAUGCUGUCAGGUGUACAGGCCCAAAGUUUAAGAGCUGUUUCUUCUCUGUCGUUCCACUCCUGUCAUGGCUGCCGCAAUACCCACUCAGAGAAAACAUUGUAGGAGAUCUGAUAUCAGGAAUCAGUGUGGGAAUCAUGCACCUGCCACAAGGUAUGGCAUAUGCUUUACUGGCUGCAGUUCCUCCCGUGUUUGGUCUUUAUUCUUCUUUCUACCCCAUUCUCAUCUACUUCAUAUUUGGGACAUCCAAACACAUCUCUGUGGGUACGUAUGCAGUAAUGAGUGUAAUGAUUGGAAGCGUGACCGAGCGUAUGGCUCCAGACUCAGACUUUAUGUUGCCGGGUAACGACACCAACAGCACCAUCAUAGACACGUUCAGUCGUGAUGCGCAGAGGGUGAAGAUCGCAGCCACUGUAACUUUCUUAUCGGGCAUUUUUCAGUUGCUCCUGGGUCUGGUUCGGUUUGGUUUCGUGGUGACGUACCUGUCAGAGCCACUGGUGAGAGCUUACACAACAGCGGCCGCCAUCCAUGUUAUCGUCUCCCAGCUUAAAUACUCUUUUGGAAUCAAUCCAGAUCGGUACAGUGGACCACUGUCUCUUAUAUAUACGAUUUUAAAGAUUUGUUCAUUGCUUGGAGAAACUAACAUUGGUACCCUGGUAGUUAGUAUUGUAUCCAUCGUUGGUUUGGUCAUUGCCAAGGAACUUAGCGCCUUGGCAGCAAAGAAAAUUCCUAUUCCUAUUCCUGUUGAGCUAAUCGCUAUUAUUAUAGCUACUGUGGCGUCUUGGCAGAUCGAUCUAAAAACCAAAUACAAAGUGGAAGUAGUUGGAGAAAUUCCAUCAGGGCUGCAGGGCCCUGUGCUGCCUGCUUUUUCCCUGCUGGGUUCAAUGAUUGGUGAUGCUUUUGCUCUGGCUGUUGUUGGAUAUGGCAUUGCCAUUUCUCUUGGUAGAAUUUUCGCUCUUAAAUAUGCCUACAAAGUCGACAGUAACCAGGAGCUCGUAGCUCUGGGUCUGUCCAACUCUGUCGGUGGGAUGUUUCAGUGUUUUGCCAUCAGCUGCUCGAUGUCUCGUAGCAUGGUGCAGGUCAGCACAGGUGGGAAGUCACAGGUUGCUGGAGCUGUCUCUGCUGUGGUAAUUCUGGUGAUCUUGUUGAAGAUUGGAGAACUCUUUGAGGAGCUUCCAAAAGCAGUGCUGGCUGCUAUCAUUUAUGUAAAUCUGCAUGGCAUGAUGAAGCAGUUUGGCGACAUCUGCUCCCUCUGGAAGACCAACAAAGUAGAUAUGGUGGUGUGGGUAAUGACUCUGAUCUUGACAUUGUUACUUAACCCUGAUCUGGGACUGGCUGCAUCUAUCGCCUUUUCCAUCCUCACUGUGGUCUUCAGAACGCAGCUACCAAAAUACUCUCUCCUUGGCCAAGUUCCUGGCACUGACAUCUACAAACCAGUUGAGGACUACAACCAGGUGAAGCAGAUUCCUGGCCUAGUGAUUUUCCGCUCGUCUGCAACAUUGUACUUCGCCAACGCUGAAAUGUACACAGAUGCUCUCUACGAGAAGACCGGGGUUGACGUGGCUAAACUUCUCUCACACAAGAAGAAAUUAGAAACAAAGAGACUCCGUAAGGAAAAGAAAGCAGCGAAGAAAGCAAAGAAGGAUGCCAAGAAGAAAGCUAAAGAAACUGCCGGUCACGCUUAUAAAAAUCAGGGGGCGGAGUCGGAGUUAAGUGAGGAUGAGCUUGAUUUUUCAGAUGUAGAGUCAAAUGCGCAUGAGCUGUCAGUCAAAAAGCAAAUAAAUGUCUUCACUGUGGAGGCGGGGUGUGUCCCAAACACUGACUCCGCCCUCCCAGAGGCCAUCAUUCUGGAUCUGAGCCCAGUGAACUUCCUGGAUACAGUGGGCGUAAAGACUCUACGCAAUCCCUGUGUUUUUUUUGGCAGAUCUAUAAAGAUUAUGGAGAGGCUGGUGUGGAGGUGUACCUAUGCGGCUGUCAGAGAGAUGUUGUAGAGAGUAUGGAGAAAGGUGAUUUUUUCAAUGAAAAAGUAACAAAAUCGAUUCUCUUCUCAUCGGUACAUGACGCUGUUCUUUAUUGCCAGGAAGGAAAUAAGGAGGCCAUGCCGGGAACACAUUUCUAAAUCCAAACACAGCAGGACAUUUCUGUACACGACACCCUGGAGUAUGACAGACUAAUGAGAGACAUUACGUACGUUAGAAAUUCAGUAAAAGGCUGGGUUGUUAUUUAUUGUGCAAAUAGUAAACAUUUAAAGUAUUUCUCACUGUAAAAUAGAUCAAAUACGUUGUUUUGUUAAACUAUGUUUUUCAGUAAAUAUAUGAAAAUAGAUCUGCAACAGAGAUGCAACAUAACAUGUAAAUCAAUUGUUAUAAAUAUAGUUACAGUUUCAGAGAUGGAAAUGUAGUAAACCUUUCAUAUGAUGUUGUGUGGAUUUUAAAAUGGAUGAUUAAGCACGAAUGUAAAACUGUUUCUUACAAAACAUUUAGACUACUAAAAGUUUUUUUACAGGAAAGCAUGACUAUAGCAUACUAUAAACAUUAUAUGUAUGUUAGUAAGAGUUAUGUGUCUCAUGUGUGCCACUUUGUAUGCAUGUGUUUAAGAAUGAAUUUAACUUCAAUAAACAUUCUUUUUCUUA